rnacentral:rRNA from 1 species
UACGUAGGGCGCAAGCGUUAUCCGGAAUUAUUGGGCGUAAAGAGCUCGUAGGCGGUUUGUCGCGUCUGCCGUGAAAGUCCGGGGCUCAACUCCGGAUCUGCGGUGGGUACGGGCAGACUAGAGUGAUGUAGGGGAGACUGGAAUUCCUGGUGUAGCGGUGAAAUGCGUAGAGAUCGGGAGGAACACCGGUGGCGAAGGCGGUUCUCUGGGCCUUACCUGACGCUGAGGAGCGAAAGCGUGGGGAGCAAACAGG